AGUCAAGUAAUUAAGUGCAUGUGGUGGAUGCCUUGGCAGUCAGAGGCGAUGAAAGACGUGAUAGCCUGCGAAAAGCUCCGGGGAGGCGGCAAAUAUCCUUUGAUCCGGAGAUGUCUGAAUGGGGGAACCCACCUACUUUAAGGUAGGUAUUGCAACAUGAAUACAUAGUGUUGCAAGGCGAACGAGGGGAAGUGAAACAUCUCAGUACCCUUAGGAAAAGAAAUCAAUUGAGAUUCCCUCAGUAGCGGCGAGCGAACGGGGAUCAGCCCAUUAAGUUAUGUGUGUUUUAGUGGAACGCUCUGGGAAGUGCGAACGUAGAGGGUGAUAUUCCCGUACACGAAAGGGCACACAUAAUGAUGACGAGUAGGGCGAGGCACGUGAAACCUUGUCUGAAUAUGGGGGGACCAUCCUCCAAGGCUAAAUACUCCUGACUGACCGAUAGUGAACCAGUACCGUGAGGGAAAGGCGAAAAGAACCCCUGUGAGGGGAGUGAAAUAGAUCCUGAAACCGCAUGCAUACAAGCAGUGGGAGCACCUUCGUGGUGUGACUGCGUACCUUUUGUAUAAUGGGUCAGCGACUUAUAUUCAGUAGCAAGGUUAACCGUAUAGGGGAGCCGUAGAGAAAUCGAGUCUUAAUAGGGCGUUUAGUUGCUGGGUAUAGACCCGAAACCAGGCGAUCUAUCCAUGAGCAGGUUGAAGGUUGGGUAACACUAACUGGAGGACCGAACCCACUGUCGUUGAAAAGCCAGGGGAUGACUUGUGGAUAGGGGUGAAAGGCUAAUCAAGCCUGGUGAUAGCUGGUUCUCCCCGAAAGCUAUUUAGGUAGCGCCUCGGACGAAUACCAUAGGGGGUAGAGCACUGUUUCGGCUAGGGGGUCAUCCCGACUUACCAAACCGAUGCAAACUCCGAAUACCUAUGAGUACUAUCCGGGAGACAGACUGCGGGUGCUAACGUCCGUAGUCAAGAGGAAAACAAUCCAGACCGCCAGCUAAGGCCCCAAAAUCAUAGUUAAGUGGGAAACGAUGUGGGAAGGCAUAGACAGCUAGGAGGUUGGCUUAGAAGCAGCCACCCUUUAAAGAAAGCGUAAUAGCUCACUAGUCGAGUCGGCCUGCGCGGAAGAUGUAACGGGGCUAAAACUAUGUGCCGAAGCUGCGGAUNNNNNNNNNNNNNNNNNNNNNNNNNNNNNNNNNNNNNNNNNAUGCUGGAGGUAUCAGAAGUGCGAAUGCUGACGUGAGUAACGACAAAACGGGUGAAAAACCCGUUCGCCGAAAGACCAAGGGUUCCAGUCCAACGUUAAUCGGGGCUGGGUGAGUCGACCCCUAAGGCGAGGCCGAAAGGCGUAGUCGAUGGGAAAAUGGUUAAUAUUCCAUUACUUCUGUGUAAUGCGAUGAGAGGACGGAGAAGGCUAAAUCAGCCUGGCGUUGGUUGUCCAGGUGAAAGGAUGUAGGCAUGUAUCUUAGGCAAAUCCGGGGUACUCUAUGCUGAGAUCUGAUAGCAAGCUGUACUUGUACAGCGAAGUGGUUGAUGCCAUGCUUCCAGGAAAAGUCUCUAAGCUUCAGUUACACAGGAAUCGUACCCGAAACCGACACAGGUGGUCAGGUCGAGUAGACCAAGGCGCUUGAGAGAACUCUGCUGAAGGAACUAGGCAAAAUGGUACCGUAACUUCGGGAGAAGGUACGCUGUUGUUGGUGAUGGAACUCGCUUCCUGAGCUGACGACAGCCGCAGAAACCAGGCCGCUGCAACUGUUUAUUAAAAACAUAGCACUCUGCAAACACGAAAGUGGACGUAUAGGGUGUGAUGCCUGCCCGGUGCUGGAAGGUUAAUUGAUGGGGUUAGCGUAAGCGAAGCUCUUGAUCGAAGCCCCAGUAAACGGCGGCCGUAACUAUAACGGUCCUAAGGUAGCGAAAUUCCUUGUCGGGUAAGUUCCGACCUGCACGAAUGGCAUAAUGAUGGCGGCGCUGUCUCCAGCAGAGGCUCAGUGAAAUCGAAAUCGCUGUGAAGAUGCAGUGUACCCGCGGCUAGACGGAAAGACCCCGUGAACCUUUACUGCAGCUUGACACUGAACUUUGACCUUACUUGUGUAGGAUAGGUGGGAGGCUUUGAAGCUGGAACGCUAGUUCCAGUGGAGCCGUCCUUGAAAUACCACCCUGGUAAUGUUGAGGUUCUAACUCUGUCCCGUGAUCCGGGACGAGGACCGUGUCUGGUGGGUAGUUUGACUGGGGCGGUCUCCUCCUAAAGAGUAACGGAGGAGUACGAAGGUGCGCUCAGCGUGGUCGGAAAUCACGCGUAGAGUAUAAAGGCAAAAGCGCGCUUAACUGCGAGACCCACAAGUCGAGCAGGUACGAAAGUAGGUCUUAGUGAUCCGGUGGUUCUGUAUGGAAGGGCCAUCGCUCAACGGAUAAAAGGUACUCUGGGGAUAACAGGCUGAUACCGCCCAAGAGUUCAUAUCGACGGCGGUGUUUGGCACCUCGAUGUCGGCUCAUCUCAUCCUGGGGCUGAAGCAGGUCCCAAGGGUAUGGCUGUUCGCCAUUUAAAGAGGUACGCGAGCUGGGUUUAGAACGUCGUGAGACAGUUCGGUCCCUAUCUACCGUGGGCGCUGGAAAUUUGAGAGGAUCUGCUCCUAGUACGAGAGGACCAGAGUGGACGAACCUCUGGUGUACCGGUUGUGACGCCAGUCGCAUCGCCGGGUAGCUAUGUUCGGAAGGGAUAACCGCUGAAAGCAUCUAAGCGGGAAGCCUACCUCAAGAUAAGAUUUCCCUAGGACUUUAUGUCCUCUAAAGAGCCGUUCGAGACUAGGACGUUGAUAGGUUGGAUGUGGAAGCAUAGUGAUAUGUGAAGCUGACCAAUACUAAUUGCUCGUGAGGCUUGACUAU
rnacentral:rRNA from 1 species